rnacentral:rRNA from 1 species
AACGAACGCUGGCGGCAGGCCUAACACAUGCAAGUCGAGCGAGGACUUCGGUUCUAGCGGCGGACGGGUGAGUAACGCGUGGGAAUGUGCCCUUCUCUACGGAAUAGCCCUGGGAAACUGGGAGUAAUACCGUAUACGCCCUAUUGGGGAAAGAUUUAUCGGAGAAGGAUCAGCCCGCGUUGGAUUAGGUAGUUGAUGGGGUAAUGGCCUACCAAGCCGACGAUCCAUAGCUGGUUUGAGAGGAUGAUCAGCCACACUGGGACUGAGACACGGCCCAGACUCCUACGGGAGGCAGCAGUGGGGAAUCUUAGACAAUGGGGGCAACCCUGAUCUAGCCAUGCCGCGUGAGUGAUGAAGGCCUUAGGGUUGUAAAGCUCUUUCAGCUGGGAAGAUAAUGACGGUACCAGCAGAAGAAGCCCCGGCUAACUCCGUG